GCUCCCUUUUAUUUUUAUUUAUUUAUUUAUUUAAAAUUCUACCUCCCCCAAAUUCACCAUAAGGGGGUUAAAAACCCAUCUUGGUUCUGUCCCUACCCCCACGCCUCAUUCCCCAGGGAAGGGAGACCCCGAAGACGCUCGGUACUUGCCCUCAGCUUUGCUCCUACCCAGGCGCUGGGAUGGCUGCGCUGGGCGCAGGGGGCAGCGAUCGUAGCUGCCGCUCGGUCUAGGCUGUCGCUCCAUGUGCCGGCCGGCGAGCAUCGUGUUCGGGUCCCCCCGCAAGCUGCCACUGCCGCAGCCCGAAAGGAAUGUCCCCUGUUGUUAAGGACCCUGACUGUUUUACACCAAUGAUUUGCCACUGCAAAGUUGCUUGCACCAACAACACUUUGUCGUUGAUGUUUGGAUGCAAGAAAUUCUCUUCCCUCUGUUCCUCCUGGAUAACUUCCACUCAUCCUUCAGACCCCAGCUUCAGCGUUCCUUAAAUAUCUUCAGAGACCCCACUGUGAAUCCCCUAAACUACUUUGAUCUGCAGCAACUAUUGAUCUCUGCAUCGUGAUGAAGGGAAAACUGACAUUCAGAAAAUUGGGACUGUUUCUUUGAAACCAACCUGAUAGCAGACCUGUACCUUCACUGGCUUACAAGGGAUCUCGCCAAUUUAUUUAAUGCCUCCCAAAUUCAUUAUAAUCAAGAGAGUUCUGG